rnacentral:rRNA from 1 species
GAUGAACGCUGGCGGCGUGCCUAAUACAUGCAAGUCGAGCGAAUGGAUUAAGAGCUUGCUCUUAUGAAGUUAGCGGCGGACGGGUGAGUAACACGUGGGUAACCUGCCCAUAAGACUGGGAUAACUCCGGGAAACCGGGGCUAAUACCGGAUACCAUUUUGAACCGCAUGGUUCGAAAUUGAAAGGCGGCUUCGGCUGUCACUUAUGGAUGGACCCGCGUCGCAUUAGCUAGUUGGUGAGGUAACGGCUCACCAAGGCAACGAUGCGUAGCCGACAUGAGAGGGUGAUCGGCCAAACUGGGACUGAGACACGGCCCAGACUCCUACGGGAGGCAGCAGUAGGGAAUCUUCCGCAAUGGACGAAAGUCUGACGGAGCAACGCCGCGUGAGUGAUGAAGGCUUUCGGGUCGUAAAACUCUGUUGUUAGGGAAGAACAAGUGCUAGUUGAAUAAGCUGGCACCUUGACGGUACCUAACCAGAAAGCCACGGCUAACUACGUGCCAGCCGCCGCAGUAA